UCCCCAAUACUGGAAUCCUAACACCAUGC
rnacentral:piRNA from 1 species